rnacentral:rRNA from 1 species
GAUGAACGCUGGCGGCGUGCCUAAUACAUGCAAGUCGAGCGAACAGACGAGGAGCUUGCUCCUCUGACGUUAGCGGCGGACGGGUGAGUAACACGUGGAUAACCUACCUAUAAGACUGGGAUAACUUCGGGAAACCGGAGCUAAUACCGGAUAAUAUAUUGAACCGCAUGGUUCAAUAGUGAAAGACGGUUUUGCUGUCACUUAUAGAUGGAUCCGCGCCGCAUUAGCUAGUUGGUAAGGUAACGGCUUACCAAGGCAACGAUGCGUAGCCGACCUGAGAGGGUGAUAGGCCACACUGGAACUGAGACACGGUCCAGACUCCUACGGGAGGCAGCAGUAGGGAAUCUUACGCAAUGGGCGAAAGCCUGACGGAGCAACGCCGAGUGAGUGAUGAAGGUCUUCGGAUCGUAAAACUCUGUUAUUAGGGAAGAACAAAUGUGUAAGUAACUAUGCACGUCUUGACGGUACCUAAUCAGAAAGCCACGGCUAACUACGUG